AUCUGAGAGGCAGAGGAAAGCCAACACCAGUCCGCAGAGGGUUCACACACACCGGCCAAGAACAUACAGUUACCUAGAGAAAUCAGGUGUUCAGAGGGUGAGUGGGAAUCUUGGAAAAUAAGAAAAAUAACAAAAUGAAGUUAUACUGAGAAGGCAUGACAGAGAAGCCAAGUUUUUGGUUGACCCUGCAAUCUCAAAAGGCACAUGACAACCUGACAGAGUUUGAGAGGGUCUGCAGUGAAGAAUCCCAGAAUCUCCACAAAUGCAGCUGUUCCAAGCUUGGAGCAUCAUAC